GCCUUUGUUGCAGUGAAGAGGUUCAAGACCUUUCUACCCAAUAACUAGUUAGAUAGCUCCAUCCACUUGAUGAAUAGGCACUGGAGCAAACUCUUCUUCAGUCACCUCUUCAGCUUGAAUCUUCACUCCUUCUGGUAGGAGUUCUAUACGAAAUGACAUGAUCAUGGAUGUUUAUGCUUAUGCAACUUGAAAAGAAAAUACUAAGAAGCAUCGCAAGACUUACACCUCUCUAAUGGUGCACACAAAAACUAACAAAACCUUAAGAGAGCUAAAUACUCUAAUAUCACAACUCAAUCAUACUAGGGCAGCCAGCAAGGAUGAGGUGAUAUUCUUCAGUUACUCCAAUAUAGACACUAGUUUACUAAAUCAGCCACCUUCCACUAAAUUUGUUUUCAGUUUUCUGAAACAACACACCACUAAGCCUGAUAGAGGGUUUUGGCACUUACUUUUCUCUAAAUUCUCUAUAGUAGCAAGCCAACUCUUCGCAUCAAAUUUGUUGUGCAUGAUAUGGUCUCCCAUCUUGCUGUGGAAUCCCUAACCCAAUUCUACCUGGAGUAAUUUCCAUAGAGCUACAAAGGUGGUUAAAAACUCACUGAACCAUGAUAACAGUCGACUGAAUCAGUCUGCAUUCCAUAUGCCUGGCAGGGGUAAUUAGGACACCAAUUACUGCCAACCCUGUGUAACACCCAGUUCAUUUCUCUUUAGAAAACUUAUUCACCUUACUAUGGUAUCCAACCUUUAUACAUGGAGUAGGACUCAUAACUCCAGGAAUUAAAUUCUAAAGAGCUUCAAAAUUGGUUGAACAACACCCUGAAACAGAUUUUUAGUGAACUGAUACAGCCCACCCCUAGUCUGACAGGGAAGGUUUGGAGGUAUUUUACUCCCAAAUUUCUGUAGAGCCAUGUCUAUCUUACUUUAGUAAACUUAUUUACUUCACUUUGCUCUGCACUUUUGCUAAAUAAUUCUUAGUCCAAAACCACUAGGAUGGGUCACAAUAGAGCCUAAACUUGGUACCAUUCAUUGAUGUUCAGAUUUUCAGCUCUGAAUAAACUAAGUUAAUAGCAAUCUGAUAAUCCAAACAUAGGAAUUCAGAUUCUUAUCUUUGAGCAAAUUUUACACCUAGUUCCCAAUAACAGACAGUGGUAGAGUUCAAUCAAAUGUCGUGGGGAACAGUAGUGACAUACCUAAACUUUGGUGCUCACAAGGAAUCGACCGGAGAAAGCGUGAGUUGUUCGGUCAACACAGAGGCUGCUCACGGCUCCGGUCUGCGGUGGAACAACUCUGUUCUGAGUCGCACAAGACUCUAGAAUUAGGAAACCCAGUUCGGUGAGCUUCACUAAUCUAGGGAGAUUACCGAACAAGGUUCACCUGGGCAACAAACUUCUUGAGAUACUCUGACCACGGGGAGGUGGAAGGAUGGUUGUUGUGGCACCAGAGUACCAGACAAUGGAAUGGCACUUGAUGAACUGAACAAAGCCGACGCAGAGGCUAAGGAGAUGAACUCAGGCUUGCACACACCACCACAGAGAUGCC
rnacentral:lncRNA from 1 species